GGGCUGUGGUCAGAGGCUCACACAAUGAGGCUCAUGAUGAAAUUACAUUUUGCCAAAAAGGGUUAAAUUCUUUUUUAAUUUCAUUGAGUGCUGUUUUUGAUAAAUGCCACAUAUUUUCACCACCAUUCAUUUCAAGGUGAUCUGCCAAUAGAACCUUCCAUGAGGAAUAAUUUGUGGGGUCUAAAACUUUUUUAACCCAGGAUAACUUAAGUGAUUUUAUAAAUGAUUCAAUAUGUGGCAUUUUUACA
rnacentral:lncRNA from 1 species